GGCUUAUGCAAACAUCAUCACGAAAUGUUCCCUUUUAUAAGCAGGGUCCUCAUUUUGGAUCUUUACAUUUUCUUCCAACUGCAUAUGUCAAACUGGAAGAAACUCAUUUAAAAAGACGCUAUGAAUUUCUACCUGUUUUUCUUUUCUCUGAUAGCCAUGCCAAAAUGGUCCCUAUCUGAUGUGCAGCUUGUAUCUUCAGGGCCUGAAACUGUAAGACCAGGACAAAAUCUCAAUUUGCUCUGUAAAGUUACUGGUUACUCCAUCACUAAUAGUAGGCAUGCAUGGAGCUGGGUCCGUCAGCCUCCAGGAAAAGGUUUAGAAUGGAUUGCCAGAAUCUUCCCCCAUAAUGGGAAUACGUGGUUUUCAUCUUCUCUUCAAAGCCGCAUCACCAUUGCUUCAGACAACUCCAAGAAUGAGUUUUCCCUUCAGUUGAACUCCUUAUCCGCUGCUGACAGUGCCAUAUAUUAUUGUGCCAGAGAGGCACAGUAACGAAUUUUGCUUUCUCUUCUGAGCAAAAACAGGAAACUGAUUCUGACUGAUUUCUGUUCCACGCAGUAG